UUCAAAUCAAAGUUUAUUUGUCAAGUGUGCCGAAUACAACAGGUGUAGUAGACCUCACAGUGAAAUGCUGAAUACAACAGGUGUAGUAGACCUUACAGUGAAAUGCUGAAUACAACGGGUGUAGUAGACCUUACAGUGAAAUGCUGAAUACAACAGGUGUAGUAGACCUCACAGUGAAAUGCUGAACACAACAGGUGUAGUAGACCUCAGUGAAAUGCUGAAUACAACAGGUGUAGUAGACCUCACAGUGAAAUGCUGAAUACAACAGGUGUAGUAGACCUCACAGUGAAAUGCUGAAUACAACAGGUGUAGUAGACCUCACAGUAAAAUGCUGAAUACAACAGGUGUAGUAGACCUUACAGUGAAAUGCUGAAUACAACAGGUAGACCUUACAGUGAAAUGCUGAAUACAACAUGUGUAGUAGACCUUAUAGUGAAAUACUGAAUACAACAGGUGUAGUAGACCUUACAGUGAAAUGCUGAAUACAUCAGGUGUAGUAGACCUUAUAGUGAAAUGCUGAAUACAACAGGUGUAGUAGACCUUACAGUGACAUGCUGAAUACAACAGGUAGACCUUACAGUGAAAUGCUGAAUACAACAGGUAGACCUUACAGUGAAAUGCUUACUUACAGGCUCUAACCAAUAGUGCGGGGGAAAAAAGGUGUGUGUGUGUGUGUGUGUAGGUAAGUAAAGAAAUAAAACAACAGUAAAUAGACAGGCUAUAUACAGUAGCGAGGCUAUAAAAGUAGCGAGGCUAUAAAAGUAGCGAGGCUAUAUACAGUAGAGAGGCUAUAAAAGUAGCGAGGCUAUAUACAGACACCUGUUAGUCAGGCUGAUUGAGGUAGCAUGUACAUGUAGAUAUGGUUAAAGUGACUACGCAGAUAUGAUAAACAGAGAGUAGCAGUAGCAUAAAAGAGGGGUUGGCGGGUGGUGGGACACAAUGCAGAUAGCACGGUUAGCCAAUGUGCGGGAGCACUGGUUG
ensembl:lncRNA